rnacentral:tRNA from 1 species
GGCUGUAGCUCAGGGGUAGAGCGCCUGCCUCCCACAUGUGAGGCACUGGGUUCGAUCCUCAGCACCA